rnacentral:rRNA from 1 species
GACGAACGCUGGCGGCGUGCUUAACACAUGCAAGUCGAACGGAAAUGCCCUUCUUUUGUGGGGUGCUCGAGUGGCGAACGGUUGAGUAACACGUUAGUAACCUGCCCUUGACUUUGGGUUAACUUCAGGAAACUGGGGCUAAUACCGGAUAGGAGCUCCUGCUGCAUGGUUGGGGUUUGAAAGUUUCGGCGGUUGGGGAUGGACUCGCGGCUUAUCAGCUUGUUGGUGGGGUAGUGGCUUACCAAGGCUUUGACGGGUAGCCGGCCUGAGAGGGUGACCGGCAACAUGGGGACUGAGAUACGGCCCAGAGUCCUACGGGAGGCAGCAGUGGGGAAUAUUGCACGAUGGGCGGAAGCCUGAUGCAGCAACGACGCGUGCGGGAUGACGGCCUUCGGGUUGUAAACCGCUUUCGCCUGUGACGAAGCGUGAGUGACGGUAAUGGGUAAAGAAGCACCGGCUAACUACGUG